CUAACAGGAGAUCCUUCGAUGCCCAAGUUAGACUAUCUUAGAAGAAUAGAGGAGGUUCUGAUUGAAAGAAGACAUAGGACAGAAAGAGGGAAGCUUGAGUGAUUGUCAAAGAGAAAAAGGGUUUUAUAAGUUUAGGAGAGUUUCAUCUCCAAAGAAUUUUUCUCAAUCAGAGACUAUUAGAGACUUUGUUUAGAUCUCCACC
rnacentral:lncRNA from 1 species